rnacentral:rRNA from 1 species
AUGGCCGCCGCACCGACGCCGCAGCCCUUGCUCCCGGUGACCAACCCCUCCUCCGGGGGCGGCGGCUCUGCCCCGUCCGCCGGCAGCGGCCUCACCGACUCCGCGCUCGCCACGCCGGCCUUCCGGCUCUUCCUCAGCAGGGUCUCCGACACGGCGCGGCGCUCGCUCGCCGACCGCCGCCCCUGGACGGAGCUCAUCGACCGCUCGGCCAUCUCGCGGCCGGACUCCCUCUCCGAGGCCACCUCGCGAUUGCGCCGCAACCUGGGCUACUUCCGCGUCAACUACGCCGCCGUGGUGGCCUUCUCCCUCGCGGCCUCCCUCCUGGCGCACCCCUUCUCGCUGCUCGUCCUCCUCGGCAUCCUCGGCGCCUGGUGCUUCCUCUACGUCUUCCGCGCGCCCGACCAGCCCGUCGUGCUCUUCGGCCGCACCUUCACCGACCGGGAGACGCUGCUCGGCCUCGUCGUCUCGUCGCUGCUCGCCUUCUUCCUCACGUCCGUCGCCUCGCUCAUCAUCUCCGGCCUGCUCGUCGGCGGCGCGCUGGUGGCGGUGCACGGCGCGUUCCGCAUGCCCGAGGACCUCUUCCUCGACGACUCGAGCUCUGUGUCAAGCGGCAACACUUCCCACAGGCUGCUCUCCUUCCUCGCGUCGCCCGGAUCUGGUGUUUGA